GGAAAUAAAUCAUAUAGGAGGAUUCGAACAUGGAGAAUGACUAGUUGCUUAAGCGUUCAUGUUAGGGUCACACAAUCAAUUACCUCUUGAAUGUAUCAUCUCUAUUUCUAAUAUCUGAACACACAAAGAAACUAUAAUCUCCUCCUUCACCUUAUCGGUCUCUUCCUUACAACAAUUCAAUCAUAUCAAUAACUGCUAUUUCCACCAAUAUAUUCACCCUCAUAAUCUCCAACUGUAAUAUUGUGCCCUCAUAGCUUUCACCACACAAUUACCAUCAUUCCAAUCACUGGAAUUCUUCACAUAGAACUGCCAUUCACAUUACGGUGUUUCACACAAACACAUACUCAUUCUCUCUGCUAAACUACAAUCAGAUUUUAGCAUUCAAUCUUUCUUCUUCUGAAAUAAUACCAAUCACAUUUCCAUUCCAUAAUUCACUUCACAAUAUUCAGCAACUCUCAAUCUUCUUAUUCAAAAAAAAUAACAAACAAAAGAAAAGAGGUAGUACCAAGCUUACCCCGGCUCACAACUAUCACAACGAUGGCACCCUAAUUAACUUCUACAAUUUCUAUAUACUUUCCCCUGAUUCUCCACAUUCUAACCGUAAUUCUAUAAUUAACCACUUUUAAGAACUAAAUCACUCAUCCAUCUUCCUGAAUUUCCUAUUUUAUGGACUAUUAAUAUAUUUUACUAAUAUCUUUCAAAAAUGAAUUAAUAUCUGUUCUACAUAGCCCCACUC
rnacentral:lncRNA from 1 species